UACAUGGGGCGCAAACGUUGCUCGGAAUUAUUGGGCGUAAAGCGCACGUAGGCGGUUUGUUAAGUCGGAUGUGAAAUCCCUCGGCUCAACUGAGGAAGUGCAUCCGAAACUGGCAGGCUUGAGUACUAAAGAGGGUCGCGGAAUUCCCGGUGUAGAGGUGAAAUUCGUAGAUAUCGGGAGGAACACCGGUGGCGAAGGCGGCGACCUGGGUAGAUACUGACGCUGAGGUGCGAAAGCGUGGGGAGCAAACGGG
rnacentral:rRNA from 1 species